rnacentral:rRNA from 1 species
GAUGAACGCUGGCGGCGUGCCUAAUACAUGCAAGUCGAGCGAACAGACGAGGAGCUUGCUCCUCUAACGUUAGCGGCGGACGGGUGAGUAACACGUGGAUAACCUACCUAUAAGACUGGGAUAACUUCGGGAAACCGGAGCUAAUACCGGAUAAUAUAUUGAACCGCAUGGUUCAAUAGUGAAAGACGGUUUUGCUGUCACUUAUAGAUGGAUCCGCGCCGCAUUAGCUAGUUGGUAAGGUAACAGCUUACCAAGGCAACGAUGCGUAGCCGACCUGAGAGGGUGAUCGGCCACACUGGAACUGAGACACGGUCCAGACUCCUACGGGAGGCAGCAGUAGGGAAUCUUCCGCAAUGGGCGAAAGCCUGACGGAGCAACGCCGCGUGAGUGAUGAAGGUCUUCGGAUCGUAAAACUCUGUUAUUAGGGAAGAACAAAUGUGUAAGUAACGAUGCACGUCUUGACGGUACCUAAUCAGAAAGCCACGGCUAAAUACGU